rnacentral:snRNA from 1 species
AAGUGUAACAGCUCUUUUAGAAUUUGUCUAGCAGGUCUUCCAGUCCUUACCAGAAGGUCCCC